UACGUAGGGUGCAAGCGUUUGUCCGGAUUAUUGGGCGUAAAGAGCUCGUAGGCGGUUUGUCGCGUCGGCUGUGAAAACUCGGGGCUCAACCCCGAGCCUGCAGUCGAUACGGGCAGACUAGAGUGCUGUAGGGGAGACUGGAAUUCCUGGUGUAGCGGUGAAAUGCGCAGAUAUCAGGAGGAACACCGGUGGCGAAGGCGGGUCUCUGGGCAGUAACUGACGCUGAGGAGCGAAAGCGUGGGGAGCGAACAGG
rnacentral:rRNA from 1 species